GAUGAACGCUAGCGGCAGGCCUAAUACAUGCAAGUCGAGGGGCAGCAGGAGUAGCAAUACUCGCUGGCGACCGGCGCACGGGUGCGUAACACGUAUACAAUCUGCCUUUAACUGGGGGAUAGCCCGGAGAAAUCCGGAUUAAUACCCCACUAAUAGAUCGAAUGGCAUCAUUUGAUUUUGUAAAGCUCCGGCGGUUAGAGAUGAGUAUGCGACUGAUAGCUAGUUGGUGAGGUAACGGCUCACCAAGGCAACGAUCAGUAGGGGA
rnacentral:rRNA from 1 species